rnacentral:rRNA from 1 species
AUUGAACGCUGGCGGCAUGCUUUACACAUGCCAGUCGAACGGCAGCGGGGAGGAGCUUGCUUCUCUGCCGGCGAGUGGCGAACGGGUGAGUAAUACAUCGGAACGUGUCGAGAAGAGGGGGAUAACCACCCGAAAGGGUGGCUAAUACCGCAUAAAUUCUGAGGAAGAAAGCUGGGGACCUAGGAAUAGGCCUAGCGCUUUUUGAGCGGCCGAUGUCGGAUUAGCUAGUUGGUGAGGUAAAGGCUCACCAAGGCGAAGAUCUGUAGCGGGUCUGAGAGGAUGAUCCGCCACCCUGGGACUGAGACACGGCCCAGACUCCUACGGGAGGCAGCAGUGGGGAAUUUUGGACAAUGGGGGCAACCCUGAUCCAGCCAUGCCGCGUGUAUGAAGAAGGCCUUAGGGUUGUAAAGUACUUUUGUUAGGGAAGAAAAGUCAGCUGUGAAUAAUGGCUGAUACUGACGGUACCUAAAGAAUAAGCACCGGCUAACUACGUG